ensembl:snoRNA
AUCCUUUUGUAAUUCAUGAGCAUGAUAAUUGAGUGUUCACAUGCAUGUGUGAAAUGUGCCACCCUCUGAACCUUUUUACAACAUGGAUGCAUCACCUGCUGGACC